UACGUAGGGUGCGAGCGUUGUCCGGAAUUAUUGGGCGUAAAGAGCUCGUAGGCGGCUUGUCGCGUCGGAUGUGAAAGCCCGGGGCUUAACUCCGGGUCUGCAUUCGAUACGGGCAGGCUAGAGUUCGGUAGGGGAGAUCGGAAUUCCUGGUGUAGCGGUGAAAUGCGCAGAUAUCAGGAGGAACACCGGUGGCGAAGGCGGAUCUCUGGGCCGAUACUGACGCUGAGGAGCGAAAGCGUGGGGAGCGGACAGG
rnacentral:rRNA from 1 species